GACGAACGCUGGCGGCGUGGAUUAGGCAUGCAAGUCGAACGGUAUCAUCCUUUCGGGGGUGAGAGAGUGGCGAACUGGUGAGUAACACGUAGGUUAUCUACCCUCAAGACGGGGACAACCCAGGGAAACUUGGGCUAAUACCGGAUGUGAGCAACUUUUAGUUGUUUGAAAGGUGGCGUAAGCUGUCGCUUGGGGAUGAGCCUGCGUCCUAUUAGUUAGUUGGUGAGGUAACGGCUCACCUAGGCAAUGAUAGGUAGGCGGCCUUAACGGGUGGUCGCCCACACUGGGAUUGAGAUACGGCCCAGACUCCUACGGGAGGCAGCAGUCGAGAAUAGUCUACAAUGGUCGGAAGACUGAUAGUGCGACGCCGCGUGGACGAUGAAGGCCGGAAGGUUGUAAAGUCCUUUUCUCCGUGAAGAAUAAGGGUGCGAGGAAAUGCGCGCCUGAUGCGUUAUCGGAGGAAUAAGCCCCGGCUAAUUACGUG
rnacentral:rRNA from 1 species